GUGUGUGUGUGUGUGUGUGUGUGUGUGUGUGAGAGAGAGAGAGAGAAACAUGGAUAUUACGUUCUAAAAGUUUUCUCAAUAUUCCUUGUCUCAGUAUCUCCAGGGCUCCAACUCUUUUUUGCUGUUUGCACCUCUUGAAGACAGACUUGCUAGGUACUUGUUCAUAAAUUAUUGGCUGCUUAGGUUUUAUGUGUAGGAGCUCAUUUGGCAGAAGCUACUGAGCUUUCUCAGUAACAGUUGCCUGCAAGUUACAGUAAUCCCCAUGGAAAGCCACUACAGAUGGACAGUUGAAUGUGUAAAAUAGGCAUUUUUAUAAGCUGUGUGGAGAACCAGAAGAUUUCAUUGCUCUCCCCUCCUACCCCUCACCUCCGAUCACAUGGGAAGCUAUUAAUUUAUAUUUUCUUUUACCCUGGCUAUCACCUAAGGAAUGUGCUGCCAAUUCCACUACUAAUCAAUGUGAUAGGGACCACUGGUGACAAUGAAGCUUAGUUUUACUGGUGGUUGAGUGUUCUACUGUCAUAGGUCAUAGAAGCAUAGUAGAGUCUAGUGGUUGCUGAUUGUUCAUGCAAAGACUAUAUCACUGUAUGCUGUUUUUAUGAUUGUGAAUAUUUCAAGGAAGAUGGUUCAGGGAAUAUCCAGAAGAAUGACUUAAGUGCUGACAUACCACCAUCACAGCAUGUUCUUGAGGCUAUAGAGAUGCUGUGUUCCACAUUGGAGUAAGUCACUUUAAAGCCACACCUGCCCUCCAACAAAUCCCGUUGGGUACAGAGGGCUAUCUAGAAGCUGAACUGGACACAGGGGGCCCAAAUUGGAGUAUGUGCCUCUUUGCAAGGAAGGAGGAUGAGGGAGGCAACUUGACUGAUUGCAAUGAGCACUCGGAGCAUUGCAAUACAACAUUGCAGGUGGUUUCUGGCUCGAAGAAUCUGGCAACAUCAGUUCUAUAAUAUAUUUAUUAACUACUAGAUGUGUCUUUUUCUUUUAAAAAAAAAAUAACCUAAGCACUGGAAAUGCUAUGUCUGUUCUUUAUCUCCGGCCCUCCACGAAGUUCCCCUGGGAAUCUGUUCCAUACUCUGAUUUCCGUUUAGAAAUUGUUUUUUCCUGAAUGCCCAGAAAUUUUCUUUCCUCAUUAAUCUGUUAAAGAAACCAAAAUAAAAACUUAAAUAGGAGUGCUGGAUAUAAAAUCUCUUUUUAGAACGAUAAGCCAUUUGCUCUGCAUGGAAAAUUUUUAUAUUGAGUUUUAGCCUAGAGUGAUUUUUUUUUUUUACCGUUUAAAAGGCACUUUGUUUAUGAUGGAAAUGCUGACAUAGAAUCUUAACAGUGAAGGUGCCGAUCAGAGUGACUUCAGCAUGGAUGCAUCCACAGAACAUUCUAGACAUCUAUACAUAUAUGCAAUGUUACUUUGUCAGACUAGAGUACCCGUGUGAUAAAAAGCACCAAAUAACUUACAAUUGAAGAAAUGGUUAUAUUUGACCAUUUAUUUCACGAAGACAGCUUUAAAGCUAGCAAUUUAUCUGCUGUUUUAAUUCAUUCCUGAUUAUCUCUCUCUAGACACUGUUAUGUAGCCUCUACAAUGUCUACACAUGAGUAAUGAAAAAAGGGCAUGAUAAUAAAAUUGGCACUAAGUCAACCCAUUCCUCUGCAAACUGCAAAAAGUCAACCCUGUGUGACGCAUCUCUAUUUGCUGGAAAAAUCCUGAGGAACUAGGACAAAGAUCCUUUAGAUACAGCCUGGAAGGGUCUAUGUCUGUGCCCCUUUUACUCUCCAGUCUGGGCGCUCGAACACAAUGCUUUGCUAGUGACAAGUAGCAAACCUCUCCAUACUCUGUUAUCACUCAGCAUAUGGAGUCUUACACCAAGCUACGUUGCACAAAAUGCUUCCUGAGCCGCUCCUGAAACUCUCGGAGAGAGGAACUAGUAAAUCUGCCAAGCCCUCAGCCUUGCUCCCCAGAACUGUUCCACCUUGCCUUGGCUAGAAGCCUGACCAGUGUAAGUUUAUUACCAAGUCCUCCCCUCCUUCAGUGUGGAGAAGACAAACCCAAGCAUUUGUAACCUUCUCGGAGAUUGUCCAAGCAGUUCAAGCAAAGCAUGCUGUUGGGGAAAUAUUUUAAGUAUCAGAGGGGUAGUCGUGUUAGUCUGGAUCUGCAAAAGCG